UCAUCUGCACCUUCGCAAAGGCGAACAGAGAGCCAAGCAUAGAAGGAUUUGGCACUUCCUCGGCCCCCGGCCUGCAAUUUGGAGAGAGGAGGCUAAGCUUCUGGCUUACAGGAGUCAUUCCUGGAAUCUGUUUGCAGAGAGAGAGAGAGAGAGAGAGAGAGAGGCCUUCUACAUCUUACCUGGAUGUAGGGCACCCGCGAGCCGAGACUUAAAUGGGAAGCGCAAACUUUCCGGCCAGCCCUUUCAAGCUCAGGAUUCCUCCGGAGGCGAGAGCGCAAAGCGGGGCUGAGCCCAGAAGAGACUUUCCGAGCCGGGCUGAGGCGCUGAACCCUUCGGGGGGCGGCUGGAGCGGAAGAUGCACCCCCGAGCCAGCUUUCUGAGGCUUUGCCGCGGGACAGCCAUGCACUGAGAACGGGAUGACGUCGGUAUUGAGGCCGCUUGCCUUCAGACUGAAAGCCGCCGCGCU